rnacentral:rRNA from 1 species
UGGGGAAUCUUCCGCAAUGGACGAAAGUCUGACGGAGCAACGCCGCGUGAGUGAAGAAGGCCUUCGGGUCGUAAAGCUCUGUUAUUAGGGACGAACGUAUGCUAUGUGAAUAAUGUAGUAUAGUGACGGUACCUAAGGAGGAAGCCACGGCUAACUACGUGCCAGCAGCCGCGGUAAUACGUAGGUGGCAAGCGUUGUCCGGAAUUAUUGGGCGUAAAGCGCGCGCAGGUGGGAUAAUAAGUCUUUUGUAAAAGUGCGGGGCUCAACCCCGUAAAGCGACGGAUACUGUUAUUCUUGAGUGCAGGAGAGGAAAGCGGAAUUCCCAGUGUAGCGGUGAAAUGCGUAGAUAUUGGGAGGAACACCAGUGGCGAAGGCGGCUUUCUGGACUGUGUCUGACACUGAGGCGCGAAAGCUAGGGGAGCGAACG